rnacentral:rRNA from 1 species
UUCCGGUUGAUCCUGCCGGAGGUCAUUGCUAGUGGAGUCCGAUUUAGCCAUGCUAGUUGCACGAGUUCAGACUCGUAGCAGAUAGCUCAGUAACACGUGGCCAAACUACCCUACAGAGCGCGAUAACCUCGGGAAACUGAGGCUAAUAGCGCAUACGGCUCUCACGCUGGAACUGCGGAGAGCUCGAAACGCUCCGGCGCUGUAGGAUGUGGCUGCGGCCGAUUAGGUAGACGGUGGGGUAACGGCCCACCGUGCCAGUAAUCGGUACGGGUUGUGAGAGCAAGAGCCCGGAGACGGUAUCUGAGACAAGAUACCGGGCCCUACGGGGCGCAGCAGGCGCGAAACCUUUACACUGCACGCCAGUGCGAUAAGGGGACUCCAGGUGCGAAGGCAUAUAGUCCUCGCUUUUGUACACCGUAAGGUGGUGUACGAAUAAGUGCUGGGCAAGACCGGUGCCAGCCGCCGCGGUAAUACCGGCAGCACGAGUGAUGACCGCUAUUAUUGGGCCUAAAGCGUCCGUAGCUGGCCAGGCAAGUCCGUCGGGAAAUCUCCCCGCCCAACGGGGAGGCGUCCGGUGGAAACUGCUUGGCUUGGGACCGGAAGAUCCAGAGGGUACGUCCGGGGUAGGAGUGAAAUCCCGUAAUCCUGGACGGACCACCGGUGGCGAAAGCGCUCUGGAAAGACGGAUCCGACGGUGAGGGACGAAAGCUCGGGUCACGAACCGGAUUAGAUACCCGGGUAGUCCGAGCUGUAAACGAUGUCUGCUAGGUGUGCCACAGGCUACGAGCCUGUGGUGUGCCGUAGGGAAGCCGUGAAGCAGACCGCCUGGGAAGUACGUCCGCAAGGAUGAAACUUAAAGGAAUUGGCGGGUAGCACUACAACCGGAGGAGCCUGCGGUUUAAUUGGAUUCAACGCCGGA